AGCUUUGCACAGUGGCAGUAUUGUAGCCAAUGAGGUUUAUCUGAGGUACAAUGAUUGCUAAUUGAAAAUUUUCCCUAAUACCCAACAUAACAACUUGAAAUAUAGUCAGCAUUGGCAAUUUUUGACAGUCUCUACAGAGA